UUCACUAAGAUAUUAUAUUCCUUCCAACAUAUUUAACUAUACCUCCUACUUUUAUUUGUCCUAAAAGAAAAUUAAUAAUAGUAAAACACUCCAUGUUUCAUAAAGAAUCCUUUCAUCCUCAAAACCCUAGCCGUAGUAACCUCCAUAGGAGCUUAGCAGCCAGUUCAUUCUCGAUGCCAUGGCAGAAGUUAAAGCCUCAACUCCCAAUUUUUGUCCUAAAUUUGAAAAACUUCUGAAAUGCUAGUAAGGGGUACAGGGUACCCACUUCCUUGGUUCUCGUUUCAGACUCUGAUUGUCAUUUUUCUAUGUGAUCUUGGAAAUUUCUUUAUAUUUAAUUCUAUUCCUGUUAUUGUAUUUAGUGUUGACACAUUUUCUAAUGUUCCACAAAACAGGUUUGUAAAUUUUACGGAGGGACAUAUUCGGAGUGAAAGUGAAAGCUCUAGCAGGGGUGAAUCUGUUAAAAAUGGGUUUGUGAAUCUGCUAUAUUUAUCACUAAACUUGGCAUUCCCGGACGUUAAAAUGAGUCUAUGCACCCCUUUGUGACCACAUUGCCAGCAAAUCACAUAUGAGUUUUCAAUUAUUAAAAGGUUUUGUUAUGGAUGAGAAUGGGUGAGUACUAUCUAGAGCGCAGAUGGUUAGAUUUUAUUCAGUGCACUUUGAAUUUUAUUUUGAUGUGUUAUGUUUGAUGAUAUUUGUUAACAGUUUGAGUGACAAUGACAAUUUCUUACUUAUGGCGGUUAGAACUUAUUUCUAAUAUUGGUACCGUUACCUAUUAUAAGUUUGAUUGGAAAUGGUUAGUAUUUAGUUGUAUAAUGUUCAUAAUGAUUCCUGUUCUAAAUUCUAAUUUUCAUUGAAAGAGCUUAUGUUGAAAUUGCUGAAAUAUGUAAAGUCUAUCUCUAUCUUUGCAGAUGUCAUUUGUUCCUCUUAUUUUUAUCAUGGUUUUGAUCUUUAAAAAAAAAUGAAUGUCUACUUUAGAAGAAGCUUGUAGCUUUAUCAAAAAAUCGGAUGCCUUGUCAGCCCCCACCAUUGGUUCUGGGCAACUAGGGCUAACUCUCUAUGCGAAAUUGUUUGAUUUAUACUUUUCACGAUAUCCACCACAACUUGAUGUGUCUCUGUCAACUUCAAUAUUUCUCUUGAAAGAUUCUUUAUACCUUACAUGAGAGGUUGUAAAUAUGGAUUAUUAAGCUAUGGUGUCCCUUCCAUAUUUUUGCUCUGAGUUAUUUCUUUUAGAGGUUUCAUCAACUUGAUCUUGCUUGUAUUCUUCUUCUUUCUGGUUAAAAUUAUGGGUGUGUAUUGGAACUAUGAAGCCUAAAUGGAAUUACAGUGCUUUGAUGGCCUUUAUAUUUGGUAUAUAGUUUUUUUUUUUUUGAAAUAGAAAAAAGAGAAAAAACUAUAAGUAGCAGUUGUUAAAUGGUUUAAUACAAAAGUAGAACACAAGAUUUUUCCUUCCUUACUAUUGGAUGUUUUUCUAGCGGCAUGGAGAAAGCACCAUGGGUCUUUUAGGAUGUGCACAUUCUGAUUUAUGUUUAUGGCACCUCUGUGAAAGUUCUUACUUUCCCUAAGACCCUCCUUUUGGGACAAUUGUGAAAUAUGUUCUAAUUCCUUGCAAAGCUAAUGUAAAAAUGAAUGGGUGUUGCAUGUUGACCCACUUAAUUUGCAUUUUAUUAUCACAGAAAGUUCUUGAUUGCUCUAUGAGGCGACACAAUAAGUUGAAAAUCCUCAUUCGCCUUUUUCCUGAAAUUUUUAUGUGAGUUCUUCUUUCCUUUCACAGGCAAUGCUUUCAAUUUUAGAUAACCGAUUAAAUAAAGUUAGGCAACUGAAGUCUUUGUACAUGAGGAAUGAGAAAGGUGUCUUUUUUGAAGUAAAAACUCAUGUUUGUAUCCCUAGGAUAUUGAAGAGAUUUGUUGGAAUCAUGUGUAAUUUAGUUUGUCAUGGCAUUCUAUACCUAACAUAAAUAAAUAUGUUUGUACAUGGGAUUUUGUACCUAACAAAAUUUUCUGAUGUAUGAACAUAUCAUAAAUGAUAAUUCAUACAACAUUUUAAGACUAAAUUGGUACUCCCAUGUAUUGCAGUUUUGGAUUUAGCUUGGCAUUAUCUCUAAUUUUGAACAAGAUUCAAUGAGGAGAGCUAUUUUAUUAUGCCACAUGUAGGGAACAAUGAAUCAUCUUUAUUUCCAAGUGAUGUGUUUGAUUUUUUCCUUAUUAACAUAGAACCAUUAACUUGCAUUUUCUAAUGUCGAGAUUAGUCCCAUUACGUGUUGGAUGAAAUGUCUCAGGUUUGAAUCAACAUAUUCGGAUGCAAGAGUGGAGUAUGAAUUUAGGCAACAGUGAUGUUGAGUUUUGCAGUAAGUGUGAGAAUCAGUGGGCAUUUUUAAACAAUUCAAGGGAAUUAAAUAUAUUUGUUUCUCAGCUACAUAUAAUGCUUUCCACUAUAAUUAAAAUUAAGUGUGUGUCUUUUUAUAUGUACUACAUUGAAUCCUCACAUGUAGCUUAAAAACAUUUCCAAUAUUAAGGGGUUAUAUUAACUAAAGAAGCUUGCAAACUCUAUAUUAGUUGAAUUACUGUUACAUUUCUUAUUUUAACAUUCCUUUACCUUUAUGGAUUUAAAAUAUGUAUUUUCAUUUGUUUGGUUGAUUCCAUAGGAUAAUUGACAAAUGAAUUUAAUCUAUUUCCACAUAAGAAUAUUUUCUCUUGCAAGUUGUAUGUUCCUUCUAUAGGGGUACAUAGUUUUCUGUGUUUUAUUUAUCCCAAACAAUUUAAGGAGAUAAAGAAAACUUGAUAAUGAAUGAUCAAGUAAGAGUAUAUUUCAAAUAAGUAUUAAGCUCAAUAUUGAACAUGCAUGUGUGUCUGAUAUCUAUAUUUGAUGGUCUACAAGCUCUGAACUACUACAGUCACUAUUGUGUCCUUUUAUCCAAAUUAAGUAUGUAGUCUAUUAUGCAGUUGGAUAUAAGGAGACUCUCCAAUGGAAUUUGGAGUAGCAAUCGAACGGAAUCAUCUCCCUCCCGAUUUCAUAAUAUGGUAUUUUCCCAAUUAUUCUAGUGUUUUUGCAUGUCAAGAUACUUUUUUGUCUAGCAUACAUGAAUUCCCAAUAUUGGUGGAACUAAUAUUUGAUGAUAAUGUUUAUAUACAAAAUAUUGUGAAACAUCUAAAUCAAUGCGUUAUAUACUAAAUCUUAGACUGUUUAUCGGAAUGGACAUGAUGAUGGUAGGAACUAUUUUAUCUACAUUGCUGACAACAAAAAGCGUUGUGAUUGUAACUCUUUCGAGAUGCAUGCUUGCUUAUUCAAGAUGGAAAUGUUGUUGUUCUGCAGAAUUUGGCUACCCUUAAGGCACAAUUUUUCAACUGGUUGGUAGAUCAAAUGCACAGAGCUAUUGCUUUGGCAAUUGAAGAUUCUCGAAAAGACUUUGCUUGAAAUGCCAACACGAAUUGAGACAAACUUAACAACAAUAUAAUACUGAUAGAAUUAUAAUACAAAUACUUGUGUUUUCUGAAUUACUAGUAUUUAUGUACACCUGAUCUGAUACAACAAUUACUAUUGUUUGUUGACAUAACUUUAAUGUUUGAUGGAUGCAUUGUCUAUCAGGGCCCUUGGGAAGUUGUUCGUGGCCUUUUUAAUCCAUGGUAUAUAUAUAAUCUAAGGGGAAUGGUGUGGCAGAUUCUUUGUUAAAGAUUUUUGGAUUGGACAUCAAUAGUGAUAUGGUGGGAGAUGACAUGUCAAUGGAUAUUAAAAUCAUGGCCACAAGUCAAUUCAAUCAUUUGAAGUUGAUAAUUUUUUAUUUGAAUAUUACAAUGUUCAAUUUUCAGUUUAUCUUGUAUGAUUCAUUGCUAGUGCACAUUUUGAAAUACGGAUUUAUUAAUAUGUAUUUAUCCUAGAUGUUUCUUUUUCUAAGUACAUUGCAAAUAUAUGUAUUUUGUGUUAUUUAUCA